rnacentral:piRNA from 1 species
UGGGGAGCUUCAUGAAAAUGAUGGGAAG